UCCUCGGGUACCUAGUCACGCA
rnacentral:siRNA from 1 species